UGUAAGCGUAUACCAAAGUUGUUGCAGUUAAAACGCUCGUAGUCGGAACUUGGCAGUUCCGGAAGUGUGCACGUCGUGUGCGCACUUUGCAGGGACUGCUUUUGUGGUCUUGCGUAGGAUGAGGCACUUUUAUUAGUGAACGUCCUCACGCAACCACUCUUUACUGUGAGAAAAUCAGAGUGCUCAAAGCAGGCAUUUGCCGUGAAUGUAUUAGCAUGGAAUAAUAGAAUAGGACUCGGUUCUAUUUUGUUGGUUUGUUGGGACUGAGUAAUGAUUAAGAGGGACAGUUGGGGGCAUUUGUAUUUCGGCGCUAGAGGUGAGAUUCUUAGAUUGCCGAAAGACAAACUGCUGCGAAAGCGUCUGCCAAGGAUGUUUUCAUUGA
rnacentral:rRNA from 1 species